rnacentral:rRNA from 1 species
CUACGGGUCGCAGCAGUGAGGAAUUUUGCGCAAUGGGGGCAACCCUGACGCAGCAACGCCGCGUGAGUGAAGAAGGCCCUUGGGUCGUAAGGCUCUGUCAAUGGGGAAGAAGUUACUUGGUAUUAAUAGUGCCUUGUAUUGACGGUACCCAUGAAGGAAGCACCGGCUAACUCCGUGCCAGCAGCCGCGGUAAUACGGGGGGUGCAAGCGUUAUUCGGAAUUAUUGGGCGUAAAGGGCACGCAGGCGGUCCUGUCAGUCAGAUGUGAAAGCCCAGGGCUCAACCCUGGACGUGCAUUUGAAACAGCAGGACUUGAGUACGGGAGAGGAAAGGGGAAUUCCUGGUGUAGAGGUGAAAUUCGUAGAUAUCAGGAGGAACACCGGUGGCGAAGGCGCCUUUCUGGACCGAUACUGACGCUGAGGUGCGAAGGCGUGGGUAGCGAACGGGAUUAGAUACCCCAGUAGUC